rnacentral:rRNA from 1 species
GACGAACGCUGGCGGCGUGCUUAACACAUGCAAGUCGAGCGGUAGGGCCCUUUCGGGGGUACACGAGCGGCGAACGGGUGAGUAACACGUGGGUGACCUGCCCUUAGCUCUGGGAUAAGCCUGGGAAACUGGGUCUAAUACCGGAUAUGACUCCAUGACGCAUGUUGUGGGGUGGAAAGCCUUGUGCGGCUAGGGAUGGGCCUGCGGCCUAUCAGCUUGUUGGUGGGGUGAUGGCCUACCAAGGCGACGACGGGUAGCCGGCCUGAGAGGGCGACCGGCCACACUGGGACUGAGACACGGCCCAGACUCCUACGGGAGGCAGCAGUGGGGAAUCUUGCGCAAUGGGCGAAAGCCUGACGCAGCGACGCCGCGUGGGGA